AACGACUCUCGGCAACGGAUAUCUCGGCUCUUGCAUCGAUGAAGAACGUAGCGAAAUGCGAUACUUGGUGUGAAUUGCAGAAUCCCGUGAACCAUCGAGUUUUUGAACGCAAGUUGCGCCCGAGACCUUUAGGUUGAGGGCACGUCUGCCUGGGC
rnacentral:rRNA from 11 species